UGGGGAAUAUUGCACAAUGGGCGCAAGCCUGAUGCAGCAACGCCGCGUGAACGAUGAAGGUCUUCGGAUCGUAAAGUUCUGUUGCAGGGGAAGAUAAUGACGGUACCCUGUGAGGAAGCCCCGGCUAACUACGUGCCAGCAGCCGCGGUAAUACGUAGGGGGCUAGCGUUAUCCGGAUUUACUGGGCGUAAAGGGUGCGUAGGUGGUCUUUCAAGUCGGUGGUUAAAGGCUACGGCUCAACCGUAGUUAGCCUCCGAAACUGGAAGACUUGAGUGCAGGAGAGGAAGGUGGAAUUCCCGGUGUAGCGGUGAAAUGCGUAGAUAUUGGGAGGAACACCAGUAGCGAAGGCGGCUUUCUGGACUGCAACUGACACUGAGGCACGAAAGCGUGGGUAGCAAACAGG
rnacentral:rRNA from 1 species